AUUGAACGCUGGCGGCAGGCCUAAUACAUGCAAGUCGAACGAGUGGCGGACGGGUGAGUAAUGUCUGGGAAACUGCCUGCUGGAGGGGGAUAACUACUGGAAACGGUAGUUAAUACCGCAUACCAUCGGAUGAGCCAAGAUGGGAUUAGCUAGUAGGUGGGGUAAAGGUUCACCUAGGCGACGAUCCCUAGCUGGUCUGAGAGGAUGACCGGCCAAACUGGAACUGAGACACGGUCCAGACUCCUACGGGAGGCAGCAGUGGGGAAUAUUGCGCAAUGGGCGAAAGCCUGAUGCAGCCAUGCCGCGUGUAUGAAGAAGGCCUUCGGGUUGUAAAGUACUUUCAGCGGGGAGGCGUUACCCGCAGAAGAAGCACCGGCUAACUCCGUGCCAGCCGCCGCGGUAAUUC
rnacentral:rRNA from 1 species